GAUCUGGAUCUGGAUCUGUGUCUGGAUCUGGAUCUGGAUCUGGAUCUGGAUCUGGAUGUGGAUCUGGAUCUGGAUCUGGAUCUGGAUAUGGAUCUGGAUCCGG
rnacentral:miRNA from 14 species